rnacentral:rRNA from 1 species
AUGAACGCUGGCUGCGUGCCUCAUACAUGCAAUUCGAGCGAACAGACGAGGAGCUUGCUCCUAUGACGUUAGCGGCGGACGGGUGAGUAACACGUGGAUAACCUACCUAUAAGACUGGGAUAACUUCGGGAAACCGGAGCUAAUACCGGAGAAUAUAUUGAACCGCAUGGUUCAAUAGUGAAAGACGGUUUUGCUGUCACUUAUAGAUGGAUCCGCGCCGCAUUAGCUAGUUGGUAAGGUAACGGCUUACCAAGGCAACGAUGCGUAGCCGACCUGAGAGGGUGAUCGGCCACACUGGAACUGAGACACGGUCCAGACUCCGACGGGAGGCAGCAGUAGGGAAUCUUCCGCAAUGGGCGAAAGCUUGACGGAGCAACGCCGCGUGAGUGAUGAAGGUCUUCGGAUCUUAAAACUCUGUUAUUAGGGAUGAACAAAUGUGUAAGUAACUAUGCACGUCUUGACGGUACCUAAUCAGAAAGCCACGGCUAACUACGUG